CCUACUGGAUCCCAGAUAAUGAAAUCAUUCUUCUAUCCUUUUGUUAUUAUAGUCCUGAUUUUAUUGUGUAUGAUUUUAUAUAACUGUCACCUUACUUGUACAUUGAGGAAGAGAGUACAGAAAUGAAUCCAUAAUGCAGAACAGAAACAAUUAGAAAUUCUCCUCUCUGCCACUGGAGGGUAUCAACCCAUCUUUAAACUGGGCCUUAGGAAUUACCACAUGGGAAUCGAGGUGAAGAAAUUAAUGAAAGUCCCGCAGGGAGUGACUAGCA